rnacentral:rRNA from 1 species
CCUACGGGCGGCAGCAGUGAGGAAUAUUGGUCAAUGGACGAGAGUCUGAACCAGCCAAGUAGCGUGAAGGAUGACUGCCCUAUGGGUUGUAAACUUCUUUUAUAAAGGAAUAAAACGAGGCACGUGUGCCUUUUUGCGUGUACUUUAUGAAUAAGGAUCGGCUAACUCCGUGCCAGCAGCCGCGGUAAUACGGAGGAUUCGAGCGUUAUCCGGAAUUAUUGGGUUUAAAGGGAGCGUAGAUGGGUUGUUAAGUCAGGUGUGAAAGUUUGCGGCUCAACCGUAAAAGUGCAGUUGAUACUGGCAGUCUUGAGUACAGUAGAGGUAAGCGGAAUGCGUGGUGUAGCGGUGAAAUGCAUAGAUAUCACGCAGAACCCCGAUUGCGAAGGCAGCUUACUAAACUGUGACUGACAUUGAUGCUCGAAAGUGUGGGUAUCGAACAGGAUUAGAUACCCCUGUAGUC